rnacentral:rRNA from 1 species
CAACUAGGAGGUUGGCUCAGAAGCAGCCACCCUUUAAAGAGUGCGUAAUAGCUCACUAGUCGAGUGCUCUUGCGCGGAUAAUGUACCGGGGCUAAGCAUAUUACCGAAACUGUGGAUGCGUAAGCAUGGUAGGAUAGCGUAAUUAACGCGAUGAAGGAUGACCGUAAGGACAUGUUGGAGCGUUAACUAGUGAGAAUUCCGGUAUGAGUAGCGAAAGAUAGGUGAGAAUCCUAUCCACCGAAUGAGUAAGGUUUCCCCCGGAAGGCUCGUCCGCGGGGGGUUAGUCGGGACCUAAGGCGAGGCUGAAAAGCGUAGUCGAUGGACAACAGGUUGAUAUUCCUGUACCGAUAUUUAAUUGCCGAAGGAAGGACGCAGAAGGAUAACACAGGCCACUAUUGGAUGUGGUUUUAAACAGUUAGUCUUCAUAAGAGUCAAAUGCUUUUAUGUUUAAGGAUAAGCUGUGAAUGUACCAAGUUUACUUGGAAAUUGUGUGAUUUCACGCUGCUGAAAAAAGUUUCGUAGGAAGAAAAUAUUGCCCGUACCGCAAACCGACACAGGUACUCAAGUGGAGAACACUAAGGUGAGCGAGUGAACUAUUGUUAAGGAACUCUGCAAAAUGAGUCCGUAACUUCGGAAGAAGGACUGCUGGUUUUAUAC